rnacentral:rRNA from 1 species
AUUGAACGCUGGCGGCAUGCCUUACACAUGCAAGUCGAACGGCAGCACGGGUGCUUGCCCCUGGUGGCGAGUGGCGAACGGGUGAGUAAUACAUCGGAACAUGUCCUGUAGUGGGGGAUAGCCCGGCGAAAGCCGGAUUAAUACCGCAUACGAUCCACGGAUGAAAGCGGGGGACCUUCGGGCCUCGCGCUAUAGGGUUGGCCGAUGGCUGAUUAGCUAGUUGGUGGGGUAAAGGCCUACCAAGGCGACGAUCAGUAGCUGGUCUGAGAGGACGACCAGCCACACUGGGGCUGAGACACGGCCCAGACUCCUACGGGAGGCAGCAGUGGGGAAUUUUGGACAAUGGGCGAAAGCCUGAUCCAGCAAUGCCGCGUGUGUGAAGAAGGCCUUCGGGUUGUAAAGCACUUUUGUCCGGAAAGAAAUCCUUGACUCUAAUACAGUCGGGGGAUGACGGUACCGGAAGAAUAAGCACCGGCUAACUACGUG